GGAAAGAUGGCUGAGUCUGGCUUAAGGCGCACGAUUGGAAAUCGUGUGUGGGCUAAUACCCCACCGAGGGUUCGAAUCCCUCUCUUUCCGCCA
rnacentral:tRNA from 1 species